rnacentral:sRNA from 1 species
GCCAGGCACAGUGGCGCAUGCCUGUCAUCCCAGAACCUCAGGAGGCUGAGGCAGGAGGAUCGUGAGUUCAAAGCCAGCCUCAGCCAAAGAGAGGCCCUGAGCAACUCAGGGAGACUCUGUCUCUA